AUUGAAGCUUAGUGGGUAGGUAGCAGAGAGGAGAGAGGACAUGUCUCUGUUCAGUGUUCUGACCUGUGAACAUCUGAAUGAUUACUAGCCUAAUAUU
rnacentral:snoRNA from 1 species